AUUGAACGCUGGCGGAAUGCUUUACACAUGCAAGUCGAACGGCAGCACGAACUUCGGUCUGGUGGCGAGUGGCGAACGGGUGAGUAAUGUAUCGGAACGUGCCCAGUCGUGGGGGAUAACGUAGUGAAAAUUACGCUAAUACCGCAUACGAUCUAUGGAUGAAAGCGGGGGAUCGCAAGACCUCGCGCGAUUGGAGCGGCCGAUACCAGGUUAGGUAGUUGGUGGGGUAAAGGCCCACCAAGCCAACGAUCUGUAGCUGGUCUGAGAGGACGACCAGCCACACUGGAACUGAGACACGGUCCAGACUCCUACGGGAGGCAGCAGUGGGGAAUUUUGGACAAUGGGCGAAAGCCUGAUCCAGCCAUUCCGCGUGCAGGAUGAAGGCCCUCGGGUUGUAAACUGCUUUUGUACAGAACGAAAAGGUUUCUACUAAUACUAGGAGCUCAUGACGGUACUGUAAGAAUAAGCACCGGCUAACUACGUGCCAGCCGCCGCAGUAA
rnacentral:rRNA from 1 species